rnacentral:tRNA from 2 species
GGGGCCGUAGCGCAGCGGGCAGCGCACCUCCUUUGCAAGGAGGGGGACGGGGGUUCGAAUCCCCCCGGCUCCACCA